GCCGGGCUAGCUCAAACAACGGCAGAGCAUAAGACUCCUAAUCUUAAGGCUGUGGGUUCAAGUCCCGCGUCCGGUA
rnacentral:tRNA from 4 species